rnacentral:rRNA from 1 species
UGGGGAAUUUUGGACAAUGGGCGAAAGCCUGAUCCAGCAAUGCCGCGUGUGUGAAGAAGGCCUUCGGGUUGUAAAGCACUUUUGUCCGGAAAGAAAUCCUUGGCUCUAAUACAGUCGGGGGAUGACGGUACCGGAAGAAUAAGCGCCGGCUAACUACGUGCCAGCAGCCGCGGUAAUACGUAGGGUGCAAGCGUUAAUCGGAAUUACUGGGCGUAAAGCGUGCGCAGGCGGUUUGCUAAGACCGAUGUGAAAUCCCCGGGCUCAACCUGGGAACUGCAUUGGUGACUGGCAGGCUAGAGUAUGGCAGAGGGGGGUAGAAUUCCACGUGUAGCAGUGAAAUGCGUAGAGAUGUGGAGGAAUACCGAUGGCGAAGGCAGCCCCCUGGGCCAAUACUGACGCUCAUGCACGAAAGCGUGGGGAGCAAACAGGAUUAGAUACCCUGGUAGUCCACGCCCUAAACGAUGUCAACUAGUUGUUGGGGAUUCAUUUCCUUAGUAACGUAGCUAACGCGUGAAGUUGGCCGCCUGGGGAGUACGGUCGCAAGAUUAAAACUCAAAGGAAUUGACGGGGUCAUAGCUG